AACGCGAAGAACCUUACCUACUCUUGACAUCCAGAGAACUUAGCAGAGAUGGUUUGGUGCCUUCGGGAACUCUGAGACAGGUGCUGCAUGGCUGUCGUCAGCUCGUGUUGUGAAAUGUUGGGUUAAGUCCCGCAACGAGCGCAACCCUUAUCCUUUGUUGCCAGCGGUCCGGCCGGGAACUCAAAGGAGACUGCCAGUGAUAAACUGGAGGAAGGUGGGGAUGACGUCAAGUCAUCAUGGCCCUUACGAGUAGGGCUACACACGUGCUACAAUGGCGCAUACAAAGAGAAGCGACCUCGCGAGAGCAAGCGGACCUCAUAAAGUGCGUCGUAGUCCGGAUUGGAGUCUGCAACUCGACUCCA
rnacentral:rRNA from 1 species